GAAAGCAGUUUUGCUAUCAAGUAAAAUAAUGGAAAAUUUUACAUUAUUGUUGAACAAUGCAAACGAAAUAGAUUGCUGCAUAAUAUCUACAGAUCAUGCUGGUCUACAAUAAAAUUUAGGACAAAGAUAUUUUUGCACAAUAUAUAAAUGAUCUCCAUAAAGAUAUUCCUGGAGGAUUCAUUACUUCUAUUAGGAAAAAGAAUAUAAAAAAAGGUAAGGGUAGGACAAGUCUACCUAACAGUUGGCGUAUGAGGGCUUGCAAUCAUAGGAAGUAAGACCUAAAUCUAAAUAAACCCUGACAUUACUCCCAAUGAAAUCAAAGUUAAUUUAAAAUUCAAUUUACCUCGGGAACAUAAAGACCUUAAACUUGUGAGAGGAAGGUUUGCGCCUAUUUUUUUCUAAGCCAACAAAAAUUAGAAUGAAUUCUACUAUUAGACGUAAGGGUUAGGCGGUAAGCUGCUGGGCUAAUAACAUCUUGAAUUGGAAAAUAUCCAAAAUAUCAUUUGGUUAAUUUGGAAUGUAUUCUGUGGAAAUAGAAUUUUUCCUGAAGGGUUAUAGUUUGACCAUGACUAGAUCUCCUAUUGAGAACAACAAUUCUAGUCUAUUACAAUCUGCCAUUAAUUUCAUGUGAUUUUGAGCUUGAGACAUAUUCUGACAAAGGUGCUGUAAAAGGGUAUCACGGUUUGUUAAUAAGGUGUCUACAAUGAAAAUGUCAGAAGUAUUGCAAAGAUAUGAGGGAAUUAAUGGGGUAAUCAACCAUAUAGAACCAGAGAAGAGGACAUUUGAAUAGUAGUAUGAAAUGAAGUGUUAUAAAAAAGUUCAGCCCAACAAAGAAAUGUUGACCAUAAUCGGGAUGUAAAUGAGUUAAUAGACCAACAAAAUGCAAGGUAUAGGUUUUUAUUCCUUGGCAUGUAAGACAAUUAUUAACGAAAUAAAUGAUGUCUUUAUGGAAUCCAAGCCAAUAAAAAUUUGUAAAGAUUCAUUUAAUGGUUUUGAGAAUACCCUGGUGGCUAACAAGAGGAGUGGAAUAAAAUUAAGUAAGAAUUUGAUUUUUUUAGAAAAGAAGACUUACUGAUGUAGAUUCAACCUUUAACAUAAAGAAUAUUGUCUCGAAUUUGGUAAUCUGAAGAAGAGAUUUCACCUUUUGAUAGUUGGGAAGUAAUUUGAAGGAUAUCGGAAGAUGUAAGGGCUUCCUUCUUUAAAUCAUUGAUUAAUGAAUUAAAAAAAAAAAGAAGAAGAAAUUAGUUAGUGUGGAGAGUGAAAAUAAGGCAGAUCGAAAAGGAACUCUAUCUUCGGGUAAUCACGAUAAGGAAUCAACAACUAUAUUUGAUUUACCUUGUUUAUACUCAAUGGAGAAAUUAAAACCUAAGAGUUUGUGAAGAUAAUAUUGUUUGUUUGGUGUUUGAAGGAUUUGUGUUUGAAGGUCAUGGAAGUUUUUAUGAUAUGUGCGAAGAAUGAACUCAGUGCCUAAUACGUAUUGACGCAUUUGCAAACAGCCUUAGUGAUGGCAUAUAAUUCUUUCAAGUAGAAGAGUGGGAUAGGCAAGUGUUUAUUUUUUUGCAAAAAAAGAUAUAGGAUGAUUGUUUUUUAGCAAAACAGCAUCAAUACCAGUGAUUCAAGCAUCAGUUUCAUUAACAAAUUGUUUUGAAAAAACUGGUAAAGAUAACACAGGGGCUAUGGUCAUGGCUUGCUUGAGGUUGUUAAAGACAGUAGAAGCAGAAUCGUUCCAUUUAAAAGAGUCUUUCUUGAGUAAACAUGUUAAAGGGGAUGCAAUAGAAGCAUAAUUUGAGAUGAAGUGGCAAUAAUAGCCCGUUAAACCCGAAAAAGGAGAGAAACUAUUUUAAAGAUGAAAGAGUUAGUCAACCAUUGGACACUUUCAAAAUAUCUAAUAAGACCAAGAUAUUCGAAGGAGAAUUGACAAAAGUUACAUUUAUUUAAUUUAAUAAAUAGCUUGUUUGUAGUUAAACAUUGAAAAACAAGGAGGAUGCGAUCAACAUGAAGUACUAGAGUAGGACUAUAGAUGUAAUAACCGGUUCUUCCGGCCGGUUCAACCGAACCGGCCGGCCCGCUUUUAUAAUUCCGCGAACAGACAAAUCGCGGAACAGGCAGUUCGCGCGAACAGAAAGGGCGGACGGUCGGGCUUCACGCGAGAGCGAGAGUGUUAUUUUGGGAGAAAUUGAAGAACAAGAGAAACGGACGAGAAGGAUUAAGAGAAGAAGGUUAGGGAAGAGAUUGUAGCGAAGAAAAAGGAAAUUGGGAGAGAAAGGAAAUUUCGAGAAGAAGGAUUUUGAUAGUUUUGAGAAGUCUCCAUUCAAAAGUGUAAGUGAAUUCCUUCCAAUUUCAGUUUUAAUGAUAUUUAGAAUUUAAAUCAAAAUAUUAUAUUGAUAGAAGUUAUUGUUUGAAAUUAGGGUUUUUGAAAGUGAAAGAUUCAAGUCAUAAGUGUU